rnacentral:rRNA from 1 species
CACUCUAGAGAGACUGCCAGGGAUAACCUGGAGGAAGGUGGGGAUGACGUCAAAUCAUCAUGCCCCUUAUGCUUAGGGCUACACACGUGCUACAAUGGGUAGUACAGAGGGUUGCCAAGCCGUAAGGUGGAGCUAAUCCCUUAAGGCUACGCUCAGUUCGGAGUGUAGGCUGAAACUCGCCUACAUGAAGCUGGAGUUACUAGUAAUCGCAGAUCAGAAUGCUGCGGUGAAUGCGUUCCCGGGUCUUGUACCCACCGCCCGGCACACCACGGGAGUUGGAGACGCCCGAAGCCGAUUAUCUAACCUUUUGGAAGAAGUCGUCGAAGGUGGAAUCAAUAACUGGGGUGAAGUCGUAACAAGGUAGCCGUAUCGGAAGGUGCGGCUGGAUCACCUCCUUUCUAAGGAGA